CUUACAUCACACACAGAGUUAACUCGAAAUGGACUAAUUUUUCCACUAGUUAGUCCAUUUCAAGUUAACUCUGUGUGUGAUGUAGU
ensembl:miRNA